GCCGGCGGACUCCUUCGGGAGGAAACCGGUGGACCGAGCGGCGGACGGGUGAGUAACACGUGGGCAACCUGCCGGACUGAUGGGAAUAACCCCGGGAAACCGGGGCUAAUGCCCAAUACGCCCUGACCUCGCCUGAGGUCAGCGGUAAAGCAGGGAUCUUCGGAUCCUUGCACAGUCCGAUGGGCCCGCGGCGCAUUAGCUAGUUGGAGAGGUAAGGGCUCCCCAAGGCGACGAUGCGUAGCCGACCUGAGAGGGUGAUCGGCCACACUGGGACUGAGACACGGCCCAGACUCCUACGGGAGGCAGCAGUAGGGAAUCAUCCGCAAUGGGCGAAAGCCUGACGGUGCAACGCCGCGUGAGUGAUGAAGGUUUUCGGAUCGUAAAGCUCUGUUGACAGGGAAGAACCCACGCCAGUCGAACAGGCUGGCGUGCUGACGGUACCUGUCCAGAAAGCCCCGGCUAACUACGUGCCAGCAGCCGCGGUAAUACGUAGGGGGCAAGCGUUGUCCGGAAUUAUUGGGCGUAAAGGGCACGCAGGCGGUUUCGUCAGUCCGAUGUGACAGGCCACGGCUCAACCGUGGAAGGCCAUUGGAAACUGCGAAACUUGAGGACAGAAGAGGAGAGUGGAAUUCCACGUGUAGCGGUGAAAUGCGUAGAUAUGUGGAGGAACACCAGUGGCGAAGGCGACUCUCUGGUCUGUACCUGACGCUGAGGUGCGAAAGCAUGGGGAGCAAACAGGAUUAGAUACCCUGGUAGUCCAUGCCGUAAACGCUGAGUGCUAGGUGUUAGGGGUUUCGAUACCCGUAGUGCCGAAGCUAACGCAUUAAGCACUCCGCCUGGGGAGUACGACCGCAAGGUUGAAACUCAANGGAAUUGACGGGGNCCCGCACAAGCGGUGGAGCAUGUGGUU
rnacentral:rRNA from 1 species